rnacentral:rRNA from 1 species
UUCGAUUCUGGCUCAGGAUGAACGCUAGCGGCAGGCCUAACACAUGCAAGUCGCGGGGCAGGCACGGGUAGCAAUACCUGGUGGCGGACCGGCGCACGGGUGCGUAACGCGUAUGCAACCUGCCCCCAUCAGGGGAAUAGCCCGCGAAAGGCGGAUUAAUGCCCCAUAGGCCCAGGGCGCCGCAUGGCGCUAUGGGUAAAGCUCCGGCGGAUGGGGAUGGGCAUGCGUGCCAUUAGCUAGUUGGGGCGGUAACGGCGCACCAAGGCGACGAUGGCUAGGGGGUCUGAGAGGAUGGUCCCCCACACUGGUACUGAGACACGGACCAGACUCCUACGGGAGGCAGCAGUGAGGAAUAUUGGUCAAUGGGCGGAAGCCUGAACCAGCCAUUGCCGCGUGCAGGAUGACGGCCCUACGGGUUGUAAACUGCUUUUCCCCGGGAAGAAUAAGCCCCUCGUGAGGGGUGAUGCCGGUACCGGGGGAAUAAGGAUCGGCUAACUCCGUGCCAGCCGCUGC